GGGUUAGGCAUAUCAUAAUGAUGCGAUUGAGUGAUAUGUCUAUGUCGUGUAAAACAUGGAGGGGCAAUAUGACCAAUGCGUCUACAAUAAUGACAAGUCACGUUGGGGUAAUGCAUCCUUCUAGGUUCAUAGUAACUUGAUGGACGAAAAUGAGUUACUCUAUUUUCAUUCUGACUAUUGCGCAUUUCAUGAGAACCAUUUCUC
rnacentral:lncRNA from 1 species